rnacentral:misc_RNA from 1 species
GAUGAAGAACGUAGCGAAAUGCGAUAAGUAAUGUGAAUUGUAGAAUUCAGUGAAUCAUCGAAUCUUUGAACGCACCUUGCACCCUUUGGCAUUCUGAAGGGUAUGCUCGUUUGAGUGUCAUUGUACUCUCACACUCCCGAUCUUUGCAUUGGGAGCAGUGGACUUGGGUUUGCUGCUUCACCGUCGCUUACCUCAAAUAGGUUAGUGCAACUCUUGGUUGGACAUAGUACGGCGUGAUAAGUGUUCUUCGCCGGUGCCUCGCAAAGAGGGUGGCCGAUCGGGAUGUUGUGCUCCAAACCGUCUUCGGACAAUCUCUGACGACUUGACCUCAAAUCGAGUAAGACUACCCGCUGAACUUAAGCAUAUCAAUAAGCGGAGGA